rnacentral:rRNA from 1 species
CGCCAGACUCCUACGGGAGGCAGCAGUGGGGGAUAUUGCACAAUGGGGGGAACCCUGAUGCAGCGACGCCGCGUGGGUGAAGGAGCGUUUCGGCGCGUAAAGCCCUGUCAGCAGGGAAGAAAAUGACGGUACCUGAAGAAGAAGCCCCGGCUAACUACGUGCCAGCAGCCGCGGUAAUACGUAGGGGGCAAGCGUUAUCCGGAUUUACUGGGUGUAAAGGGGGCGCAGACGGCGAUGCAAGCCAGGAGUGAAAGCCCGGGGCCCAACCCCGGGACUGCUCUUGGAACUGCGUGGCUGGAGUGCAGGAGGGGCAGGCGGAAUUCCUGGUGUAGCGGUGAAAUGCGUAGAUAUCAGGAGGAACACCGGUGGCGAAGGCGGCCUGCUGGACUGCAACUGACGUUGAGGCCCGAAAGCGUGGGGAGCAAACAGGAUUAGAUACCCGCGUA